CCUUUGUCAACUAGCCAGCUGUUCACAAAAUCCUCCAGAAGAAUGAUUUUGGGAGAACCUGGCAUCUGGCUGGGGUCACCCUCCUCCACAACCCCCCAACACCCAGCACACCCCUCAGCACGACCCUCAGUCAUUCCCAGCUCAAGCAUUAGGGGCAAGUACAAAAGGAGAUGGUUAUGCCUAACUCAGGUUUGCUUUUAGAUGCCUAGGAACCUUGUAGAAAUUGAUUUCACCAAGUUCAGUGUGAAAUGCAUUGCAUUUUUCUAUUUGACUGAAAAUCUGGUAAAUCAGCAGCAAAAUAAGUGAUAACUUCAAAAUAUUGGUUAGAAUCUUGGUUAAAAUAUAAGAUGAUGGCUUUCUAUUUCAAUGCAUUUUUCAGAAGGAGUGCAUGGAACAAAAGAUAAAACAAGCAGAUUUAGGAGUUCCUAUUUGUGGAAGCUGCAAUAGAACACCAGACAUAACAGGUGUGCUAACCGAGCAAGACUCACCUUUAUGGUCAGAAUAGAAAGAUUUAGCCACUUCCUGAACCUCACAGACCAGGUGAGGUUCAUGACAGCCUUAGCUGGUGACAGUACAUGCACUUGGACAGAGAGGUGGGGCACUACAGGGAACAUUCCCUUUGGGAGCGAGUUGCUGGGAGCUGUAAGAGCCAGCUGGAGUUUGGGGCUGCAGUGCCCAGUGUCAGUACAGCUAUGGGGGCUCGCCUCAUUCCUCCUGAAUCAGAGAGGUGAGCGUGGGGCAGAGCAUGUCCCCUCGGCCUUUCCCUUGGGAAGUACCCUGGAGCCCCUCAAGACCUUCCUGGGAAUGUCCUACAACACCUCAACCCUCCUCGUGCCCGUCCCCGAGGUCUCCUGUCCCCUCUCCGUGCCUGCUUUGAACGCCCCGCCCCUCUCUGUCCCCAUCCCCAUGGUCUAUUGCCCCAUUCACAAUCUGUCCCCUCUUUUCCAGUGCUUCCCCGGGGCUCUCCCCGUCCAUCCCAGUCAAUUCCAAUCUGUCCCCUCUUUCUUAUUGUUCCCCUCUUGCCCAUCUCAGCCAUGCCAUCGAGCUCCCAGCCCCAGGCCCAACCAGAGCAACUCAUUAGUUGCCAGGCAGACCCACAGCGUCCAGGCCCUGGGAUCUGCAGCCUCCCAGCCCAGUUCCAUUCCCUCCCAGCCUUUUCCAGCCCAUUUCCAGUGUCUCCCCACUCCACUCCCUUCUCUCCCAGUGCCUUCUCAGUCCAUCCAGUCUCCAUGCUUUCUCUGUGCCUCCCAGCAUGUCCAUUUCCCUGGUGCCCUCGAGCUCCCAGCUCGUCCCCGGCUGCCUGCUCUGCUCCUCGAUGCAUUUUCACCCUGCCCAGGUGCGGCUGAGGUGGUUCCAGGGCGGGUGGGAGCUCAGGGGGCACUUGAUGCCACCGACGUGGUCCCCAAGGAGCACAGGAUGCCCAGCCUGGAGCACCCCCUGAGCUGGCACUGGGGUACAGCCCAGUCCCCAGAGUGCUGGGGAGAGAGAGAGGGAGGAUCCCUGCUCUGACUCCCCCAUACUGACUUUCCCCCCUGCAAGCUAUCACUGGACAGUGCAAGAUGCCGAGGGGGUCGGGGGCUUUGUGUUGGGGUUCAUCUUCCUGGCGCUGGGGCUCAGCUUGUACCUGCAGGAGAAGGUGAGGGGACAUUCGGGGUGCGUGGUCCUCAUGGAGUCCUCAGCACUCAUGGAGGCGUCUCUGUGUUUCAGGGUGCCACGUUUCCCAGGCUGCCGGUGAUGGCCAUGUCCCUGCUGUCCUGAGUGGGUUGGGGUCCCCCUCAGGGCUGCCAGAGGGGCCAUGGACAUGUUGGAUGUGCCCCCACCCCAGGAAUGGGACCCCUGCCUCCCAGUGUCACCCCCUUUUCUCUCCCCACAGGGCUCCUCUGCUCCUGCUGCAACCUCAGCCCCUCACUCUCAGCUCUGGCCCAGACCAGAGCCCCCAUCCCCAAUCCCGCUGUGUCGCGGUGACCCCCACCCCAUCCCCACUGCACCCCACCAGUGCCCCCUGAACCUCCCGCACACCCUCAGACUGGAGAUCUGGUUCCUUGGAUUUUGGGGGGGCUUUGGAGCAGCAGUAAAGGAGUUUGUAGGGGUCCUGGCACCCACAAAUCUGUGUCAUCGGCUCCUCUGCACCCCCGGCGACACUGGCGGGGCCAAACUGGGUGACUGGGAGGCUUUGAGGGGGUUUGGGGAUCAUCCUGAGGGGGCUGUGGAGGGGAUCAAAAUCUUUCUGUUAUGCGAGUCGUGAUGGGUCUGGGUAUGCGCACCACCCCGCGCCCCCAGACCCAUCAGCCCACGAUCCCACCCUGCCCCCUACCCACGGCUGCAGCACCCCGACAGCCAUCAGCCAAUCAGGGAACGCUCUGCCGCCGAGUCAUCAGUUGCCAGGCAAAUCCGCAGAUCGCAGCGCUGCCCCCCUGGAUCCCGCCUGAGCCCCCGGGAGGGGAAUGUGGGGAGAGGGAAGGUGGGGGCCUGAGAUGGACAAAGGUGACACUGUUGUUCAGUUAUCUCAUGUUUAGAGAGAAAUAAACAAGGCUGAGGGAGAGGAAAGUAACCCCCAGAAAACCAAAGCCAGCAGCUGUCCUGAAAAUCAUCUCUGGGUGGGUUUGGGGUGGGGGAGGCCAUGGCCCACAGGCUCAUCUGCCGAGGCCAGGCUUGCACACACCCCCCAGCCAAGGGGCCAAGUGGGGAAUUUUAGGGGUGUGAUAUAACCUCUGGUCAGCAGCGGUGAGCACCCAGCCUCUGUUACACAAAACUGCUCAGUAGUAAAAACCCCCCCACCCCAGGAAAGCCACACACAGGGGACACCUUUUAAGGCCUUGCACAAGAGCACUGCAAUUUUCAUAAAACCAGAAAUCUCUCAUACAUUCUCUGAGUGUGUGGAGAGUUCUCCUCGACAUCAAGCUGUGUUUACUUCCCAGCUGAGGAUUGGGAUGAAGGAGACUUCUGCACCCCAGUGUCACUUGUUGGCCCAAUGGGAUGCUGUUUGGAUCCACAGAGUGGUGAUACUUUUUCUGUCACUCUCUUUUUUUCCACCCAGCUCUUUUUCUGUUUCUUCUCUUUCUUUCUCUCUCUCAUUUACUAUUAAAUAAAAUCCAUACUAUUAACUUGGUCUCAUUUGGACUUGAAUUCAGAGAGAGGCAUCUCUAAAAAUUGUAAUAGCGGGACCACAGCACAGUGUCGAGAUCCUUGCAGCCCAGCUCCAGUCCAUCCACGUUCAUCUGCUGGAAAUACGGCACCAACCCUUGGGAUCUACUCCAUCCUCAUCAGGGACCAGCUGUGAGCUUGUGUCAUGGUGCCUCGGUGAUGGAAAUCAACAGAGAUGUCAAUCAGCUGGCUGACAUGAGAUCUGAGAUGACGGUGACCAAGAGUUGACCACGACAUGUCCUUGACUGUGACCAUGACAUGGUUGUGACCAUGAGACAACCAUGGCCAUGAGAUGACCCCGACUAUGACCAUGACAGGACCAGGACCAUGAGAUGAUUGUGACCAGUAGAUGAC